CUACACUGCAUUUUCCAAGGCCCCAGAUGCAUACCAUUGCAGCCCAGCAGACAGAGGUUCUUCUUGUGAGGAGGCUCUUGCUCACACUGAGCCCCCGACUUUGCUUGGCACACCUGAGGAGUGUAUUGGAGCUGGUAGACAAGGUGUAGUUAACUCCCUGGUGCCCAUACAACGACUUGAGUUUUGUUGUUGAGCCACAUUGGCUCAGAUAUAGUUGGGUUGCUCUAAUAAACGAGCCUCUUCCUGCUAACACCCCUGGUGCCUUAACAGAGGCGUCCAUGCAGGCCACUCCCAUUCAUCAUUAAGUGGUAAACGGCCCAGAAACUGAGACGAGGAGAGAGAUUUGCACCAAACCUUGAGCUGUUUGCUUCAACCUGAGAGGGUUUCCUUGUGCUGAUGUCAAACUGAUAUACUUCAGGGGCUCUGGGGUCCAACGAGUACCUUGAACACAUUAUUCAAGGACGUUCAGCUGGGGUAUGGAGCAUUGUUCCAAAGUGUCCCAACGGCUUGACUAAUUGUUCUGGCUGCCUGAAUGCCCCGCUUCCCUUCCUGAUGGGACCCUCUAUAAAAUGGCUUAGCUGAGCAACGAAGGCUAAUAUAAAGCAGUUAAGUAGUCACCAUGCAGGGUGGCCAUUUUGCCCUUUGUCUCCUCAUCCUGGGACUCUGCAUACCAUGGUUUCAGCUGUUGGUUGCUGCUUGCGAGAAUGUUGAUGGAUCAGUACGUGAAUGUUGCAAACUCCCCAAGGAAAGUGGGAAAUGCAGAGCAAGUUUCCAGCGCUUUUACUACAAUGCCGAGACCAGGAUGUGUGAAAAGUUCACUUAUGGUGGCUGUCGUGGUAAUGCAAAUAGAUUCAUCUCAGAAGAAGAAUGCAUGCAAUAUUGUACUGGUAAGAACAGAAAACUUGCAGGUUGAUGGUGGCAGUAGUUCCAUGAAAUCAGGAGGCUUCCAGUUCCGGUGAGGGAGAAGGCAGCGUCUGUAGUGAGCUCCGCUCCCUAUCUAAAAUAGUUUUAACAGUUGUAAAUAUUUAGAAAUAUUUAGAAAAGCUAAACACUAAUUUUUUUAAAUCAGUCUGACUUACAGGACAAUACUAUAGGAAGUGGUGAGUCGUUAUUAAAACAUUUCUUUCUCAAGGGAGAUGGGUGUUUGGGAAACGCCUCCGCGAUGCAGAUAAAGUUUACUCUCUCUUCCUGCUCCAAAACAGACCAAAAUAA
rnacentral:lncRNA from 1 species